UACGGGGGGGGGCAAGCGUUGUUCGGAAUUACUGGCGUAAAGGGCUCGUAGGCGGCCAACUAAGUCCGACGUGAAAUCCCCAGGCUUAACCUGGGAACUGCGUCGGAUACUGGAUGGCUUGAAUUCGGGAGAGGGAUGCAGAAUUCCAGGUGUAGCGGUGAAAUGCGUAGAUAUCUGGAGGAAUACCGGUGGCGAAGGCGGCAUCCUGGACCGACAUUGACGCUGAUGAGCGAAAGCUAGGGGAGCAAACGAG
rnacentral:rRNA from 1 species